rnacentral:rRNA from 1 species
UACGUAGGGUGCAAGCGUUAAUCGGAAUUACUGGGCGUAAAGCGUGCGCAGGCGGUUUUUGUAAGUCUGUCGUGAAAUCCCCGGGCUCAACCUGGGAAUUGCGAUGGAGACUGCAAGGCUAGAAUCUGGCAGAGGGGGGGUAGAAUUCCACGUGUAGCAGUGAAAUGCGUAGAGAUGUGGAGGAACACCGAUGGCGAAGGCAGCCCCCUGGGUCAAGAUUGACGCUCAUGCACGAAAGCGUGGGGAGCAAA